UGGUAAAGACCAUAAGACAUGAAUAAAGAACCAAAGAGUUCUCAAAGUUUGGUACCCUCGGCUGGUAAAAACCAUAAGGCAUGAAUAAAGAACCAAGGAGUUCUCAAAGUUUGGUACCCUCGGCUGGUAAAAACCAUAAGACAUGACAUAAAAGAACCAAAGAGUUCUGAUUGGUACCAUCAGCUUGGAAAAACCAUAAGACAAAGGAGUUAAAAGACAUUGGAAGGGUAGUGCAUGCAUGUAAGGAAAUGAGUUGCGAUAUGUUGGAUGGAGCGGACUACAGAAAUCUUAAGACUUGUUUCAUGGUAAAAAUGACCAGAACUUUGACCAACGUACGACUUAAAGAAGUUUAGCCCAACGAGGUAAGUAUAUGACAUUCACAUAAAAUGAAGACUAACAAAUUCUUUUUUCUUUUUCUUUCAGGUAUGUGCUUCUCAAGUUACGGUGUUCAGAUUGUCAAGACUUUUGAUAGCAUGCUGAACUCCAAAGUGGUAGUUUCUGGUGCUUUUAUCAACCCUUAAUGAUGACGCAGUUGGGAACAGAUUCCACAAUUCGAGAGACUAGGUAUUAUUUUCGGUUUGAAAAUCAUAAAAAUUGCUUGCGUUUCUAGAUGAGUACAUUGUGUAUUAUAAUUUUACGAUUCUCUAUGUUUCAGUGCUUGUGUAUCAUAAGCUCUUUUAUCCUAUAUAGUGGAUGUAGAGUCUCUCGUAGAUAUUUAAGCUCUUUUAGUGCUUGUGUAUCAUAAGCUCUUUUAUCCUAUAUAGUGGAUAUUUAAGUUAUGUAGAUUGUGUUUGUGUUCCUUGAACCUUGAAAGUAUUUUUUUGCCUUGUGCUCUAAAACUUUGGUGAUUGUUUUAAACAUGUGAAUGACAUCCUAGGAUUUUGCAUCA